AGUAAGUGAGCAAAAAGAAAGAUGAAUGGUGAAGUCCUUGCAGCCCCGUUGCAGGCAUGAAGAAUACCACCUCUACAUCCCAAAAUUUUUGAAAAACGUCCAGUACCAAACAACUGAGGAGCUUCAUAAGAAGAAUGUUUUUUGUCUGCAUAAAAUGACCUGAUGCUUUCUUAGUACAAGUGUGACCAUUUUGCAAGUCUCCUCUCCUGUUGUAUGCGUGCCUGGUUGCAGGAAGGUGUGGUACAGAGACUAAAAAACAGCACCAUCUUUCAUUCUCCC